rfam:Clostridium sp. CAG:354 genomic scaffold, scf94
AUAAUGAGACACUUGCAUAGCCUUAACUCAUCGUAUAGGGUGCAACUCGGACAUAGUCGGAGUGGUGAAAGUCCAGUGG